AGUGAACGCUGGCGGCGUGCUUAACACACGCAAGUCGAGCGAGUGAAUCUUCUUCGGGAGUGAAACUAGCGGCGGACGGGUGAGUAGCACGUGGGCAACCUGCCUCAUAGAGGGGAAUAGCCUUCCGAAAGGAAGAUUAAUACCGCAUAAGAUUGUAGCUUCGCAUGAAGUAGCAAUUAAAGGAGCAAUCCGCUAUGAGAUGGGCCCGCGGCGCAUUAGCUAGUUGGUGAGGUAACGGCUCACCAAGGCGACGAUGCGUAGCCGACCUGAGAGGGUGAUCGGCCACAUUGGGACUGAGACACGGCCCAGACUCCUACGGGAGGCAGCAGUGGGGAAUAUUGCACAAUGGGGGAAACCUUGAUGCAGCAACGCCGCGUGAGUGAUGACGGCCUUCGGGUUGUAAAGCUCUGUCUUCAGGGACGAUAAUGACGGUACCUGAGGAGGAAGCCACGGCUAACUACGUGCCAGCCGCCGCCGUAACAC
rnacentral:rRNA from 1 species